GGAAGACAAAGCAAAUAUUAACACUGAACAGUCUUGAAAAUAUAAAAGUAUGACAAGUCUUCAGGGGCAUUCAGAUUUGAGACUGGGAGGAAGGCAAGAACUUUCCGGGGGAGAGAAGGAAUGCUGCUGAUCACUGGGCAUUUGUUG
rnacentral:lncRNA from 1 species